CUGCAGUUUAAGAACAUGUUGAUGGAUCUGAGAGUUUUCUUAAGAACCUUCUUAGGGACAGCUUAAGAAGGAAUCUAAGAAGAUUCUUAAGAAGAUAUUGGUGAAUGAGACCCAUUCUGUUUCAAUGUUCAAUCA